GAGUUAGUAGUUAAUAUGUUAUAAUAGGAGUCUUGUAAACUUCAGUAAGCACCAGGUUCUCUAACUCU
rnacentral:tRNA from 1 species